rnacentral:rRNA from 1 species
AUGGAUACUAGUGUUGGAGAUUUAGUUUUGCAUUGUGAUGAUUCUUCCAUGGAUGAGCUAGAGCUGCAGUUAGUUGUUUUUGAUAUUGAGGAGUCACCUUUAGUUGAUAUUGAUCAUGUGCUGCUAGAGCCAGAUAUGGAGAACUUCACCUUCGAUGAUGUUAGCCGCAUUGAUUCCUCAACACUUGAGCCUGAGAUGGAGAGCUUUAUGGUUAAUUAUGAUGAGGUGGAUUCAGAUGUCAAGGAGCCAAGCUCUACUAUUUCACUUGUUGACACGAGUCCGGUUGAAAUUUCUACUACCACACCUCACUUGGUAUCUUCAAUUGAGGUAGUCCUGAAGCUUCUUCCUAACUAUCUCCGGUAUGAUCUCAGCUUUCUGGACAAGACAUGCCAUAUCAUGGUUUACGCUUGUACACCAUUCAUUGCGAGCUGA